rnacentral:rRNA from 1 species
UGCUAGCAGCCGCGGUAAUACGAAGCUCAUUAGCGUCGUUCGGAAUCACUGGGCGUAAAGCGUGUGUAGGCUGCGCGGAAAGUCAAAUGUGAAAGCCCGGGGCUCAACCUCGGAACUGCAUUCGAUACUCAAGUGCUAGAGUAAUGGAGAGGUAAGUGGAAUUCCUGGUGUAGCAGUGAAAUGCGUGGAUAUCAGGAGGAACAUCAAUGGCGAAGGCAACUUACUGGACAUUUACUGACGCUCAGCCACGAAUGCUAGGGUAGCGAAAGGGAUAAGAUA